rnacentral:rRNA from 1 species
AAUAGCCUAACGGCUGAACCAGCAACUUGGAGGAACGUAUAGCAAUAGCUAAUUGCACCAAUAGAAAAUUGGCACAAUAUCGACGCUGUCGAAUAAAGUUCUAGAUAGAAUUAUGAUAAUGACAUUGUCUAUCUAUGUGUCUUGACCAAAUUACGUGCCAGCAGUCGCGGUAAUACGUAGAAGACUAGUGUUAUUCAUCUUUAAUAGGUUUAAAGGGUACCUAGACGGUAAAUCAAGCCUUAGUAGGGACUAGUUUACUAGAGUUACUUGUGAGGGGGCAUUAAAGUACUAAUGGUGUAGAGAUGAAAUUCUGUAAUACCUUUUAUCUAAGAUAAGCAAUGGCACAGGUAUAGGCGAAAGCAUCCCCUUAUGUGAUAACUGACGUUGAGGGACGAAGGCUUUGUAUAACAAACAGGAUUAGAUACCCUGGUAGUUAAAGCAGAAAAUGAUGAGUGUCAUAGAUUAGACAUAGGUUUAUUCUAUAAAUUAAAGUGUAAGCACUCCACCUCAAGAGUAAUUUGGCAACAUUGGAACUGAAAUCAUUAGACCGUUUCUGAAACCAGUAGUGAAGUAUGUUGUUUAAUUUGAUAACCCGCAAAAAACCUUACCACAACUUGAAUGUUUAUAUGUUAUUAUGUAGACACAAGCGUUGCACGGCUGUCUUCAGUUAAUGUCGCGAGAUUAUGGUUAGUUCCAUUAAAUUAACGUAAACCCUUACUUUAUUUUUAAAUAAAGUUGUUCUCCACUAUAUUGGAUAAGAUAACAGGGAUUAAGACAAGUCAUCAUGGCCUGAAUGUUGUGGGCUAUAGACGUGCCACGUGAGCCUUUACAAAAGGAUGUGAAAUUGCGAAAUUGAGCUAAUCCCCUAAAACUGGCUAUACAUUUACAAU